CUUUUAUGGCGUGCAUCGGUUAUGUUUUAAUCCUUUAAAAAAAUCAGUUAAGAAGUCAGAGAUGAAUCUUAAUACAUCAACACCAUCAAGGAUCACAUCAAUGGUCUGCAUCAACAAAAUGCCACAUUAUGUCAUGCAUUAUGCAUCUCCAUACAGUUCUGAAACCAAGUGUAAUCGUAUGGUCCAUUACAUCCCAGUUGCCUUCAUGUUUAAUGCUCAUCGGUGGCCAGGGCAACCUGUAUGAGUGCAAUGGGCAGCAAGACAUAGGAGCGUCAAAAUUUUUAGAAUUUUGGCAGGAACUGGAAAGCAUAAUUUGCAAGCAGCAGUUAUUCUAUUAGGUAAUAAAAUGUCUAGCUCUGGCUUCACUAGCAGUAAAGUAGCUGAAUACUGAUAAUUCAACCUGUGUUCACAUUCUGGCGAAUAGGUUGGCUGCAUGUGUGUUUUCAUAGUUUUCCGCAUAUAUGAAAUAUGUAUAAGCUAAUUUCUCUUUGAAAGUAUCUCUACCCUUAGCCACACUAUACUGUAAUCAAAUAAAUUAAACACCCCCCCC